rnacentral:lncRNA from 1 species
GAAGAAGAUGUUAAAGACUUUAAGCAACCAUCACAGUAAUGGAUUUCGGUCACAAAAAUGAGACUGAAAUUGAAAAUAGUGAAAAUUAUGAAAUUCAAAGCACAGAAGAAACUGAAUUAAUCUAUACUUGUCCAGAUGAAAGAAGUGAAAAGAAUCAUGUUGGUUGUCUUCUCAAUAUCAGUGACGUUACACUUGAACAAGAUAAAACAGCCGAAGAGUUUGUCAUUGGAACUGGAUGGGAAGAAGCAGUCCGAGGCUGGGGGCAGAUAUCUCCAACUGCCUGCAUCUGGCCCAGGAAGAAGCUUAAGAAGGCGAGGGUGGGAGAAAGUGCCAGCAGCUGCUUACUCUGUGUCAAUCUCUCCCAUGGGAGCCUGGAGGCCAGGCCUCCAGCUGAGGCAGGCCCAGAGAAGGAUGGAGGCAGCCUCUCCCAGACGCCGGGCACCCCCCCAGGCCCCACUACAACCUCCAGGGAAGUUAACAAAAUCUGCUUUCCCACCUACAGUCAGGGAGAGAAGAAAAGUCUGCAAAUAAAGGAGUUCAUUUGGUGCCUGGAAGACUGGGCCACCCCGGAGACUGUUAGGGGCAAGGACCCCAGAAGGCCCUGGAGAGGCACUGACAGAAUUCUCCCCUCCUCAGACUCCCUGACUUCCAAAGCCCUUUUAGUCCUCCCUCCCUUGAAGUCUUCGCCCCCAGAUGGCUUGGAUGUUCUGGGUAAGAAGACUAAGAACUUUUUCUUGCGGCCAGAAGAGAAGGGGCUGAGUGUGGAAAAGGAUGAGUGUGUGGCUUAUGCCUAUGGAGUGAAAGCCGUUGACGGGGCAGGCGAAAAGCAGCCCACUGAGCUGGCCAGGCACCACAAAGUCAAGGACAUGCAGCCUUUCCUCACUCCGGUGGCCCGGAUGCCCCUGCUGGCCGAGCCUGAGCCCUGCUGCCUGCACUGGUCCCUCCUGCCUGAGAAAAACCUGCUGUGCCCUCCCUGCUAUCUUGCCACCUUCCAGCUUUUGCAGAAACAAGGAGCGAGGAACUACAAAGCCAGACUCAAAGCCAGGGAGCCCAGGCCUCCCAUGAAAACCCCAAAGCGCGUCCUCACAGAGGCCAAGCAGGAAAACAGGCCCCAAAUGUUGGAGACCAAAGUGUUCUCAAGACCUCUCUUGCCGUCCCUCACACACAGGAAAAAGAAGAUAAAGUAG